rnacentral:lncRNA from 1 species
AGUAAUAUCAUAAAACCAUAUAUAAUAGCUUCAUAGUACAACAUGUGAUAUCAUAAUCAUUAUUAAAGCCUCAAUUGUCAAACUUGAACCGGCGAGAGAUGAGAUUAAAAGAGGUUUUUAGAUCACUUCCACUUCUUGAACUUACCUCCUCCAAACAUCCCAUGCCUCCCAUGUUUAAACUUGCCUCCGUGAUGCUUGAACUUCCCGUGCUUGAACUUACCAUGACCAUAACCAUAGCCAUAGCCAUGACCAUGUCCAAAUCCGUGACCAUAUGCUGCGUGUCCGUAAGGACCGUGAGAGCUAUGAGCUAUGUGGUGAGCUCCGUAGGCAGCUGCAGCACCUGCAAUCAUACCCCCGAUUCCAGCUGCGUGCCCUGAAACAAGUUAAGGGAAAUUACAUUAAUAGAAGAAAAAAAACAAAAAGAGGCAAAAAAAGUUUUAGCACAUAAUUGAAUCUAACAAGUUGUCUUUAUGAUGCUCAAAACUCUAAUGAGAUGAUUGCUACAUGAGUACACUUUCAAAGGUACGAUCUUUGGAGAACUUAUGUAACUGAUUUCAAUCUCAUGGAUGCGGUUUUGCAAUCAGAAUACGAACUCUUGCAUACCAAUAACAGUCAAAUGACUAUGGAUUCCUGUUGGCUACCAUAUAAAGUACGGUCAUUUCAAAACAAUAUAUUAUUAGCCCAACUUGUUGCUAAAAUGAAAUGUAACAACCGAGAUGAUAAUAUCGUUUUCACAACUACCAUGUAUAAACAUUAUUUGUUUCAACUUACUUAUGUGACAUGAUAUCUACCACAUAUAUAGACAAAAUUCUACAUUUCAGUUUCUCUCUAAAGUGACAUUUACCACAUUCAUAGCUAAAUUUUUUUUCACAACUAGCAAGAGGAGAUAGGGUACCUGAGUGAUGAGGAGGAUAGCCAGCAGGAGGAUAACCAGCAUGACCAGGCGCAGGAGGAUAACCACCAUAACCAGGAGCAGGAGGGUAGGCACCAGGUGGAGGUGGGUAUGCACCCGGAGGAUAACCAGGUGCAGGUGGGUAGGCACCAGGUGGUGGGGGAGGGUAAGCUUGUUGUGGUGGGUAUCCAGCUGGUGGAUAAGCCCCAGGAAUGUAACCACCUUUAUUAAUCAAUAUGUAACCUCCUAUCCAAAAUUCUCGGACCAUUUACAAUUGGUUACGUUUUCCCCUUUUGUCAAUAUUGAGUCCAAUUUUUUUUGUUUUGAACUGAAUUUAGCCCAAACUAUUUUUAUGCUAUUUAAUAAUUUCAACCUUUUAAUUGGUGAAUAUAACACGUUACUUCAUGUAAUUAAUUUAUGCAGUUACAUUAUUGACAUAUGAUUCAAAAAACCAUAAAUAUAAAAAUUAAAUUUGUAAAAAAAUUUAAAACAAAAAAUAUAUCCGCCAGGCCGGUCAGAAUCUAGUUCUCAUUUAAACUAAUGCUUAAAAGACCACACAAAUCGUAUGCAUACAUAUACUCUGUUUCUUUUUCCUAUAACAAAUUAAUCAUCGUGUCUUUGUAUUAAUGGCGAUUUCUCUACAUGACACUUUUUGCAUUCUUGCUAAUUUUAAUUAGAGAUGUUGCUAUGAACAAACUUUACUUGAUUAAACCCAUUUUAAACUCACAUUUAUCCUUUUAAGGGUGUAUUCAAUCGUCCCACAAAAAAAAAAGGUGUAUUCAAUCAAAUAUAACAAUUUUUUUUUUCUCUCUCAAAUCACCCAAAAUCAUCUAGUUAUCAAGAUCAAAUAAUUUUAUGUUUGAUUGAAUACACCCACAAGGUGGGUAAGGAAUUCAGAAACUACCAUGUAGAUCAUCUUGAUCAUAUCAUAUCCAUGCCUUCUAAAACAGGUUAAGCAAUGCCAAAACCCAUAUAUACAAGGGCAUAAUAUAUGAAAUUAUAUUAAAAACAGAAUCAGUAAUAUCAUAAAACCAUAUAUAAUAGCUUCAUAGUACAACAUGUGAUAUCAUAAUCAUUAUUAAAGCCUCAAUUGUCAAACUUGAACCGGCGAGAGAUAAGAUUAAAAGAGGUUUUUAGAUCACUUCCACUUCUUGAACUUACCUCCUCCAAACAUCCCAUGCCUCCCAUGUUUAAACUUGCCUCCGUGAUGCUUGAACUUCCCGUGCUUGAACUUACCAUGACCAUGACCAUAACCAU